GAUGAAGAACGCAGCGAAAUGCGAUAAGUAGUGUGAAUUGCAGAAUUCAGUGAAUCAUCGAAUCUUUGAACGCACAUUGCGCCCCUUGGUAUUCCAUGGGGCAUGCCUGUUCGAGCGUCAUUUGUACCUUCAAGCUCUGCUUGGUGUUGGGUGUUUGUCUCGCCUCUGCGUGUAGACUCGCCUCAAAACAAUUGGCAGCCGGCGUAUUGAUUUCGGAGCGCAAUACAUCUCGCGCUUUGCACUCAUAACGACGACGUCCAAAAGUACAUUUUUACACUCUUGACCUCGGAUCAGGUAGGGAUACCCGCUGAACUUAAGCAUAUCAAUAAGCGGAGGA
rnacentral:misc_RNA from 1 species